rnacentral:lncRNA from 1 species
UCGAUUCAUUUAUCUAUUUAUAAUUGAUGAGACGUUCGGAUUGGAUGUUGAAACUUGGGAGCUUAAAGAGACAUCCUACUAAUGACAUGUAAUCAGAUGAUAAGACGUUCCAAGAGAUGAUUUUUUGUCUUCCCUAUUUCUACAGGGUUGACAGUCUGAUAGAAUGCACUAUUUUAAGGUUUUAUGAUUAGGAGAAGUGCAAGCUGUUGUAGGAUG